rnacentral:tRNA from 1 species
GCGGAAAUAGUUCAGUUGCGAGAGCGUAUGACUAUAGAUCGAAAGGUCCCUGGUUCGAGUCCGAUUCGGCA